rnacentral:lncRNA from 1 species
UAGGAUAGGAUAGGAUAGGAUAGGAUAGGAUAGGAUAGGAUAGGAUAGGAUAGGAUAGGAUAGGAUAGGAUAGGAUAGGGACCAGCUCGCCUCUGCUUCCUUGGGCCCAGGGAAGGUCUGUCAGUGAUCACAGAGCUCUUCCCUCUGGGAAGAGUUACUUCUGACAAGCACCCAGCUGACUCACCAGCCCUUCCAGCAGUGCCAGCAUUCCAGUACCACCUUCACCAUCAGCACCCCUCUGCUGCUGGUGGGACAAUGAACCCUCAGAGAAGGGAAACAAGGAAUGGUAGAAAGCUGUAGGGAAAGGGAAGGCAGUCAGAGAUUGGGACAUUCUGCAGGGAUGGAAUUUUUCUCAUCAGGAGGAAAUGAGGAGCCAUUUCAAAAAUAUUUCAUUUGAAGCUUUUGACAAUAGUCACUUCCUCUGUAGCAAAAAGAAAGAAACGCAGGAUGAAAACUCAGAGGAAGUGAGGUUCUGACGUAGCCAAAGCUGCAAUUUCCAACUCCACUGUGACUGCAUCGAGCCCUGGGGAGCAACACCAGGACAGGACACACAGAGAGAAGCCAGCAGGACAGGAGUGGGGAGCUCCUGGUGAUCUGGGCACUUUCUCCUUCAUGUCCCUGACCUGGCAGGAGCCGCUUUAGGACAUGGAUCCCAAAGGAGCAAGAGGUACCAGGAAGCGCCGCUGAUCUGCACAGACCCCUUUGCCUGCUGCUGCCCCAUAGGAAACAGGGAGCUGCUGAGGAGCCGCGUUGUCCAUCCCUGGAUUCUCCAAGCACUGACUGCCCAUCCACUCUGACCACAGACAGGGGCCACAUCCCACUGCCAGCCCAGCGUCCAUCCAUGGAAGAGCCGCUUUAGGACAUGGAUCCCAAAGGAGCAAGAGGUACCAGGAAGCGCCGC